GACGAACGCUGGCGGCGUGCUUAACACACGCAAGUCGAACGAUGAACCCGGAGCUUGCUCCGGCGGAUUAGUGGCGAACGGGUGAGUAACGCGUGAGUAACCUGCCCUUGACUCUGGGAUAACUGCUAGAAAUGGUAGCUAAUACCGGAUACGACUCUCGGUGGCAUCACCAGGGGGUGGAAAGAAUUUCGGUCAAGGCGAGAUGGACUCGCGGCCUAUCAGCUAGUUGGUGAGGUAACGGCUCACCAAGGCGACGACGGGUAGCCGGCCUGAGAGGGUGACCGGCCACGCUGGGACUGAGACACGGCACAGACUCCUACGGGAGGCAGCAGUGGGGAAUAUUGCACAAUGGGAGCAAGCCUGAUGCAGCGACGCCGCGUGAGGGAUGACGGCCUUCGGGUUGUAAACCUCUUUUAGUAGGGAAGAAGCGAAAGUGACGGUACCUGCAGAAAAAGCACCGGCUAACUACGUGCCAGCAGCCGCAGUAA
rnacentral:rRNA from 1 species